AAUUUCAUAAUGUUGGGUUCAGUUAUUCUCAACCACUUUUUGCUUUUCUUCCCCCUAGAUUCCCAGGUCAAAGAAUAUCUUCCGGUACUGUUAAAUAUAGAUAUCUGGACUGAAUUGAACUUAUAUGACAAUUGCAGUCAAGAUUCUGGAACUCAGAAUGGGCAAACCAGGAGACAAGAGAAAAACAAGGAAAAGGAAAAAAAACUAAAUAGAAGGCAGCUGUAG
rnacentral:lncRNA from 12 species